UACGAAGGGGACUAGCGUUGUUCGGAAUCACUGGGCGUAAAGCGCACGUAGGCGGAUGUGUCAGUCAGGGGUGAAAUCCCGGGGCUCAACCUCGGAACUGCCUUUGAUACAGCACGUCUCGAGUCCGGAAGAGGUGGGUGGAAUUCCUAGUGUAGAGGUGGAAUUCGUAGAUAUUAGGAAGAACACCAGUGGCGAAGGCGGCUGCCUGGGCCUGGCCUGACGCUGAGGCGCGAAAGCGUGGGGAGCGAUCCGG
rnacentral:rRNA from 1 species